CGAUACGGAUGGUGUUGGAUUCA
rnacentral:siRNA from 1 species